GCGGUUAUGGUGGAAUGGUAGACACGCAGGCUUGAGGUGUCUGUUCUGUUAAAGGAGUGAAGGUUCAAGUCCUUUUAACCGCACCA
rnacentral:tRNA from 1 species